AUUGAACGCUGGCGGCAUGCCUUACACAUGCAAGUCGAACGGCAGCAUGAUCUAGCUUGCUAGAUUGAUGGCGAGUGGCGAACGGGUGAGUAAUACAUCGGAACGUGCCCUGUAGUGGGGGAUAACUAGUCGAAAGAUUAGCUAAUACCGCAUACGACCUGGGGGUGAAAGUGGGGGACCGCAAGGCCUCAUGCUAUAGGAGCGGCCGAUGUCUGAUUAGCUAGUUGGUGAGGUAAAGGCUCACCAAGGCGACGAUCAGUAGCUGGUCUGAGAGGACGAUCAGCCACACUGGGACUGAGACACGGCCCAGACUCCUACGGGAGGCAGCAGUGGGGAAUUUUGGACAAAGGGCGAAAGCCUGAUCCAGCAAUGCCGCGUGUGUGAAGAAGGCCUUCGGGUUGUAAAGCACUUUUGUCCGGAAAGAAAUGGCUCUGGUUAAUACCUGGGGUCGAUGACGGUACCGGAAGAAUAAGGACCGGCUAACUACGUG
rnacentral:rRNA from 1 species